CUACGGAGGGUGCAAGCGUUACUCGGAAUCACUGGGCGUAAAGCGCGCGCAGGCGGCUAUUUAAGUUGGAUGUGAAAGCCUACGGCUCAACCGUAGAACUGCAUCCAAAACUAUUUAGCUAGAGUGUGGGAGAGGAAGAUGGAAUUAGUUGUGUAGGGGUAAAAUCUGUAGAGAUAACUAGGAAUACCAAAAGCGAAGGCAAUCUUCUGGAACACUACUGACGCUGAGGCGCGAAAGCGUGGGGAGCAAACGGGAUUAGAAACCCUAGUAGUCC
rnacentral:rRNA from 1 species